ensembl:lncRNA
CACCACCUUACCGUGAGCUCUUUCUCCUCUGCCAGACCCCUCUGCCAUGCUGCCCUGCCCUGGAGCCAGCAGAUUAUGGACUGAAGCCUCUACACACUGUGAGCCAAAAUAAACCUCUCCUCCUUUGCAGUCGAGUCGUGGGUGUUGGGGAUUGUGUCUCAGCCACAAGAAGAGUGAUUGAGACAAUGUGCUUAGCACAUUGGGUUCCAUCCCCAGCGAGCGAGCGAGCGAGAGAGAGAGAGAGAGAGAGAGAGAGGGAGAGAGAGAGAGGGAGCAAAGAGCAUUUAGCUGGGCAAAGAGGCCCACACCUGUAGCCCCAGCUUCUCAGGGGACUGAGGUGGAUCACUUGAGCACAGCAUCUGGAGGCCAGCCUGGGCGACAGAGCCAGACCACCACUUAUGAAUGAGUGAAUGAUUGACUGCACUGAUACCCUGCUGUAAAAGAAUAAAUAAAAGCACCUGUUACCCAAGGGUUUUUCUUAGACAUGAGAGCGCCUUCAAGGCACCUGCAGCUCAGGACACAGCCCUUCCAGCCACGUGCAGACAUCCUGGACCUGGGGCAGUCGCCGGCCCACUAAUCAGUUCCCAGGGCCCUUCCAUCCCAGCAUUAGCCCAGUGUCUGCUUGGUGCCAAGCUCCAGAGUGUCUGCAGCCACUGAGAUGGGUAAGACAGAUUCUCCUAUUCUACCCUGAGGAGGGACAUCAAUGAAUGAAAAAAGAAAAGAGUCACCCCAGUGCUGUGACAGAGCUGCGACUAAGGAGCUGCUGUGGGAUGCUGGAGUGGUGACAAGGAAGGUCCUGCUCUGGUAUCCCCUUUCCUGGGUGUCUUUAGCUGUGCUGUCGUGCCUGAUUCAAAAUGUUCCCCUCCAUGGUCAUUUUGACUUUGGGAAGAGCCAGAAGUUGCACAGUGCCAGAUCUGACCCUGGUGCAACUGCUUCCUUCAGGAGAGCUCCACCAAGCCCUGCCUUCCAAGGAGUGAGAGUCCAGGAUGUUUGGGUUGAGGAGACCCAGGAAAUGCCCUGGCCCAGCCUCUUUCUCCCAGCUGGGCCCCUUUGCACAGGACUCCUUACACUGUCCUGACCAUGCACUCUCCAGUAAGACCAGAAUAGAACGCCUGGCUGUGUUAGGGAAAGAGAAUGUGGGAGAUGCUUUUUAUUUUUUUGCCAUUUUCCAAACACAGUUGUGCUACUUUUAUAUCCAAGGUAUUUGCAUUUUUAAAAAUCAGUCUUUGACCACAGCUUGGAGAAAUUAUUCCCCAGUUGUCCUGAUCAUUGGUGCAGCUCAGGGCAGCCCUCUGUGUGCCCUCUCACGCUCUUCCUGUGCCCCCAGUGUCCAUGCUGGGUUGCUUGCUGCUAGCCUGGCACAAAAGACUAUGGGUAACUUUUCUUCCCAAGUAACCCCACCCAGGCUGCCUGGUGUGUUGUGGCUGCUGGGAACAUAGCAGUGGCUCCCCAGGUCCUGCAGCAGGAUUCCUGAGAGCCCCAGGGCUUCUGCUUGAGGACUGAAGGGAAGGGAAGGCUCCCUACUUUCUGGGCCCUACCUGACCUCUGCUUCCCCUCUCCCCUUAGCACGAUGGCUGAUGGUGAGCCAGCAUCUCCAUCUGAGUUCAGCUCUCCGGUAGAUUAAAGAGGAGGCAAAUUUGUAUUACUCCCAUAGGCAAGAGGCAGAGUUUUUUCUCCCUCCCCUUAAUUCUGAGCUGGCCCUGUGACUGCUUUAUCAAAUGGAAGGCAGCAUUAGUGAUACUGUAACAUGUAAGGUGGCCUGGCUUUGCUUUGGCAUGUUGGGGAGCUCUGAGCCAUGACCUAAGAAUCAGUCACACUGAUGGGGAGACCACAAGGGGUUACCCAACACAUGGAGAAGGAAUGGCCUCAGGACCACACAAAGAGGGUAUGGGAGCCACACAAAGAUGUGGCUCAGUGGUAGAACAUUGCCAAGCAAAAGGAUCUGGGUUCAAUUCCCAGUACCAAAAAACAAACAAAACUCCACAGAGAAGAAGUCCAGCCAGAGCAGCAUUCCAGCAGAGCCCAGCCUUCCAGCUAUCAUCACCAAGCCACCAGACAUGUGAGGGAGUCACUGUGGAUGCUGCAGCUGGUGGCAUCCCACAAUGACAGUAGCACAACCAACAUCACCGGAACAGAAGAGUCGCCCUACUGAGCUCUGUCACCCUACAAAAUGAUGAGAGACCACAACACAGUUGUUUGGGGCUUAUCAAAAGCUGGCUCCCACGUAUCACCAACACAGCUGUCUUAAUCACUUUCUCAUCACACUCAGACAAAAUACCCAACACUCAAGAUUUAAAGGAGGAGAGGUUUAUUUUGGCUCACAGUUUCAGUCCAUGGUAGGCUGGCUCCAAGGCAAGAAAGGCACGAUGGAAGGGGUUGGUGGAGGAAAGCUGCUCAAGUCAUGGUGGCCAGGAAGCAGAGAGAGAGUAGGAAGGGGCCAGGGAGGGAGAUGGACCCUUCCAGGUCACAUCCCCACGGACCCGCCUCUGAACAGGCCCACUUCCUCAUAGCAAGUCAGCUUUGAAUGAAUAAGGCAUUAAUCCACUGAUGAGUACAGUGUCCCCACGAUCCCGUUACCCUCCCAAAGCCCCACCUCUGAUCAUGUGAGGCUUUGGGAGACAUUCUAGAUCUAAACCAUAGCAGCAGCCUACGGAAAAGAUGAAGCUGAGAUUGCUGCUCUCUUGGUGAGGGGUAGCGCCACCUGGCAAGGAAUUGGCAGUGUGUCCAAGGGAGAAAGGAAGGUCAGGAUGAGCAGAUGAUUCCACGCUUGGUGUAGGGUAGUGGGACUUGGGUGGUAUUGGGUUGAGUCGCAGUGAAACGACCCAAAACUGUGGAAAUUGCAAGGUGAGGAUUUCAAGAUAAAGGAGUCAAAGAAACUUAAGGUAC